GGGGUGGUAGCUCAGUUGGCUAGAGCGCUUCCCUGUCACGGAAGAGGUCGCGGGUUCGAGCCCCGUUCACCCCG
rnacentral:tRNA from 1 species